rnacentral:sRNA from 1 species
GAGCAGCCCAGCGUGCCCAGUCCAGCGCCCGCGUCCCCGCAGCAUGUCGCGCCCCCGCCUGCUGGCCGCGCUGUGCGGCGCGCUGCUCUGCGCCCCCAGCCUCCUCGUCGCCCUGGUGGGAUUUUUGCAUUUCAGCCAGAGGGACCUGUCUGCAGCUACCAGAUGCUCCCCACCCUGGGGGAGCUCAGCGGCAUGUCUGCACAUGGGCCUUUUCAGCCUUCUUCAUCCCGCAGUUGGAACUGACUUUCCUGCUCCCAUCUCACACUUGAGAAUCUCUGUUUCUUGCUUUUUUUUUCCCCCUGGUGGACAAUGGUGAGGAGGGUGAAGGAAGGUUAAAAGCCGCUGCUCUAAACUUGUCAUUCUUCAGAUCCCUCCCAGUCUGGCCCCAGCCUACCC